GAUGAACGCUGGCGGCGUGCCUAAUACAUGCAAGUCGAGCGAACAGACGAGGAGCUUGCUCCUUCGACGUUAGCGGCGGACGGGUGAGUAACACGUAGGUAACCUACCUAUAAGACUGGGAUAACUUCGGGAAACCGGAGCUAAUACCGGAUAAUAUUUCGAACCGCAUGGUUCGAUAGUGAAAGAUGGCUUUGCUAUCACUUAUAGAUGGACCUGCGCCGUAUUAGCUAGUUGGUAAGGUAACGGCUUACCAAGGCAACGAUACGUAGCCGACCUGAGAGGGUGAUCGGCCACACUGGAACUGAGACACGGUCCAGACUCCUCGGGAGGCAGCAGUAGGGAAUCUUCCGCAAUGGGCGAAAGCCUGACGGAGCAACGCCGCGUGAGUGAUGAAGGUCUUCGGAUCGUAAAACUCUGUUAUUAGGGAAGAACAAACGUGUAAGUAACUGUGCACGUCUUGACGGUACCUAAUCAGAAAGCCACGGCUAACUACGUG
rnacentral:rRNA from 1 species